rnacentral:rRNA from 1 species
CCUACGGGCGGCAGCAGUGAGGAAUAUUGGUCAAUGGGCGCGAGCCUGAACCAGCCAAGUAGCGUGAAGGAUGACUGCCCUCCGGGUUGUAAACUUCUUUUAUAAAGGAAUAAAGUGAGGCACGUGUGCCUUUUUGUAUGUACUUUAUGAAUAAGGAGCGGCUAACACCGUGCCAGCAGCGGCGGUAAUACGGAGGAUCCGCGCGUUAUCCGGAUUUAUUGGGUUUAAAGGGAGCGUAGAUGGGUUGUUAAGUCAGUUGUGAAAUUUUGCGGCUCAACCGUAAAAUUGCAAUUGAUACUGGCAGUCUUGAGUACAGUUGAGGUAGGCGGAAUUCGUGGUGUAGCGGUGAAAUGCUUAGAUAUCACGAAGAACUCCGAUUGCGAAGGCAGCUUACUAGACUGCCACUGACAUUGAGGCUCGAAAGUGUGGGUAUCAAACAGGAUUAGAUACCCUUGUAGUC